rnacentral:rRNA from 1 species
UACGGAGGGUGCGAGCGUUGUCCGGAAUCACUGGGCGUAAAGGGCGCGUAGGCGGCGCGGGCAGUCAACGGUGAAAGCUCGGAGCUCAACUCCGAGUCGGCCGUCGAUACUCCCGUGCUUGAGCACUGUAGAGGCAGGUGGAAUUCCGGGUGUAGCGGUGGAAUGCGUAGAUAUCAGGAGGAACACCUGUGGUGUAGACAGCUUACUGGACCAUAACUGACGCUGAGGCACGAAAGCGUGGGUAGCAAACAGG